rnacentral:rRNA from 1 species
UACGUAGGGACCAAGCGUUGUUCGGAUUUACUGGGCGUAAAGGGCGCGUAGGCGGCGUGACAAGUCACUUGUGAAAUCUCUGAGCUUAACUCAGAACGGCCAAGUGAAACUGUUGUGCUAGAGUGCAGAAGGGGCAAUCGGAAUUCUUGGUGUAGCGGUGAAAUGCGUAGAUAUCAAGAGGAACACCUGAGGUGAAGGCGGGUUGCUGGGCUGACACUGACGCUGAGGCGCGAAAGCCAGGGGAGCAAACGGG